rnacentral:rRNA from 1 species
UACAGAGGUGGCAAGCGUUGUUCGGAAUUACUGGGCGUAAAGGGCGCGUAGGCGAUUCGUUAAGUCCUGUGUGAAAUCCCCCGGCUCAACUGGGGAACUGCACAGGAAACUAGCGGGCUCGAGUCCGGAAGAGGCGAGUGGAAUUCCUGGUGUAGCGGUGAAAUGCGCAGAUAUCAGGAGGAACACCAAUGGCGAAGGCAGCUCGCUGGGACGUGACUGACGCUGAGACUCGAAAGCGUGGGUAGCAAACAGG